rnacentral:snoRNA from 1 species
AACCCAUGGUGUGGGUACUGGUUGGUGUAGCUCCUGAAUCUCUUAUAUGCUUCACCAAAACUCUCAUUGCUAUGUUGGGUGAAGCUGGAGAUUUAGUUUAUUAGCUU